rnacentral:rRNA from 1 species
GGUUGCGAUCAUACCAGCACUAAUGCACCGGAUCCCAUCAGAACUCUGCAGUUAAGCGUGCUUGGGCGAGAGUAAUACUAGGAUGGGUGACCUCCUGGGAAGUCCUCGUGUUGCAACCC